rnacentral:rRNA from 1 species
GAUGAACGCUGGCGGCGUGCCUAAUACAUGCAAGUCGAGCGAAUGGAUUAAGAGCUUGCUCUUAUGAAGUUAGCGGCGGACGGGUGAGUAACACGUGGGUAACCUGCCCAUAAGACUGGGAUAACUCCGGGAAACCGGGGCUAAUACCGGAUAACAUUUUGAACCGCAUGGUCCGAAAUUGAAAGGCGGCUUCCGCUGUCACUUAGGGAUGGACCCGCGUCGCAUUAGCUAGUUGGUGAGGUAACGGCUCACCAAGGCAACGAUGCGUAGCCGACCUGAGAGGGUGAGCGGCCACACUGGGACUGAGACACGGCCCAGACUCCUACGGGAGGCAGCAGUAGGGAAUCUUCCGCAAUGGACGAAAGUCUGACGGAGCAACGCCGCGUGAGUGAUGAAGGCUUUCGGGUCGUAAAACUCUGUUGUUAGGGAAGAACAAGUGCUAGUUGAAUAAGCUGGCACCUUGACGGUACCUAACCAGAAAGCCACGGCUAACUACGUGCCAGCAGCCGCGGUAA